rnacentral:rRNA from 1 species
AUUGAACGCUGGCGGCAGGCUUAACACAUGCAAGUCGAGCGGGGAAAGGUAGCUUGCUACCUGACCUAGCGGCGGACGGGUGAGUAAUGCUUAGGAAUCUGCCUAUUAGUGGGGGACAACAUCUCGAAAGGGAUGCCAAUACCGCAUACGUCCUACGGGAGAAAGCAGGGGACCUUCGGGCCUUGCGCUAAUAGAUGAGCCUAAGUCGGAUUAGCUAGUUGGUGGGGUAAAGGCCUACCAAGGGGACGAUCUGUAGCGGGUCUGAGAGGAUGAUCCGCCAGACUGGGACUGAGACCCGGCCCAGACUCCUACGGGAGGCAGCAGUGGGGAAUAUUGGACAAUGGGGGGAAACCUGAUCCAGCCAUGCCGCGUGUGUGAAGAAGGCCGUUUGGUUGUAAAGCACUUUAAGCGAGGAGGAGGCUACCGAGAUUAAUACUCUUGGAUAGUGGACGUUACUCGCAGAAUAAGCACCGGCUAACUCUGUG